rnacentral:rRNA from 1 species
UACGGAGGAUCCGAGCGUUAUCCGGAUUUAUUGGGGUUAAAGGGUGCGUAGGCGGCCUUGUAAGUCAGGGGUGAAAGACGGUAGCUCAACUAUCGCAGUGCCUUUGAUACUGCAGGGCUUGAAUGUACUUGAGGUAGGCGGAAUGUGACAAGUAGCGGUGAAAUGCAUAGAUAUGUCACAGAACACCAAUUGCGAAGGCAGCUUACUAAAGUAUGAUUGACGCUGAGGCACGAAAGCGUGGGGAUCAAACAGG